CCGACAUCUCCAUCAGUUACAACACAGGCCUGGACAACACAUUUGCCUAGUGGUAUAAAUUCUGCAUUAGAAGCAAAGUCAUACAAGAAAACUCUUCUACCAAAUGUUUCCAAGGAACUCAUAACUUUCCUCUGAGUCAGCAAGAUUCCAGAGCACACGAGAGGACAGCGGCUCAUACUGG